AAUUAAAGCAAAAUAAGGGCGUAUGGGGGAUGCCUAGGCUCUCAGAGGCGAAGAAGGACGUGAUAAGCUGCGAAAAGCUGCGGGGAUUGGCACACACGAUUUGAUCCGCAGAUAUCCGAAUGGGGCAACCCAGUAUCUUGAAGAGAUACUACACCGAUAGGUGAGCAAACCCGCUGAACUGAAACAUCUAAGUAGGCGGAGGAGAAGAAAACAAAAGUGAUUCCGUAAGUAGUGGCGAGCGAACGCGGAAUAGCCCAAACCGGAGUUGUUACGGCAAUUUCGGGGUUGUAGGACCACGAUAUUUUAUGUUAAAUGAACUGGAAGUUACUGGAAAGUGACACCAUAGAGGGUGAUAGUCCCGUAUGGGUAAGUUUAAUAAUAGAUAGUGGUAUCCUGAGUAGGGCGGGGCACGUGAAACCCUGUCUGAAUCUGGCGGGACCAUCCGCUAAGGCUAAAUACUCCUGAGAGACCGAUAGUGAACCAGUACCGUGAGGGAAAGGUGAAAAGAACCGUGAAUAACGGAGUGAAAUAGAUCCUGAAACCAUACGCCUACAAGCGGUCGGAGCUCGUUUAUUCGAGUGACGGCGUGCCUUUUGCAUAAUGAGCCUACGAGUUACCGUUGCUGGCAAGGAUAAGCACUUAAGGUGUGGAUCCGUAGCGAAAGCGAGUCUGAAUAGGGCGUUAUAGUCAGUAGUGGUAGACGCGAAACCGUGUGAUCUACCCAUGGGCAGGAUGAAGCUGUGGUAACACAUAGUGGAGGUCCGAACCGGUUGUCGUUGAAAAGACUUCGGAUGACCUGUGGGUAGGGGUGAAAGGCCAAUCAAACUCGGAAAUAGCUCGUACUCCCCGAAAUGCAUUUAGGUGCAGCGCUUAUUUAGUUAUACAGAGGUAGAGCUACUGAUUGGAUGCGGGGGCUUCACCGCCUACCAAUUCCUGACAAACUCCGAAUGCUGUAUAAUGAUUUUAAGCAGUGAGGGCUUGGGUGCUAAGGUCCAAGUCCGAGAGGGAAAGAACCCAGACCAUCAGCUAAGGUCCCCAAAUCUAUACUAAGUUGAAAGAACGAGGUUUGUCUGCCCAGACAGCUAGGAUGUUGGCUUGGAAGCAGCCAUUCAUUUAAAGAGUGCGUAACAGCUCACUAGUCGAGCGGACGAGCAUGGAUAAUAAUCGGGCAUAAGUAUAGUACCGAAGCUAUGGAUU
rnacentral:rRNA from 1 species